rnacentral:pre_miRNA from 1 species
GCCAGGUCCAGUGGUUCUUAACAGUUCAACAGUUCUGUAGCGCAAUUGUGAAAUGUUUAGGACCACUAGACCUGGC